rnacentral:rRNA from 1 species
UGGGGGAUAUUGCACAAUGGGGGGAACCCUGAUGCAGCGACGCCGCGUGAGGGAAGACGGUUUUCGGAUUGUAAACCUCUGUCUUUAGGGACGAAAAAAAUGACGGUACCUAAAGAGGAAGCCACGGCUAACCUACGUGCCAGCAGCCGCGGUAAUACGUAGGUGGCAAGCGUUGUCCGGAAUUACUGGGUGUAAAGGGAGCGUAGGCGGGGAGGCAAGUUGAAUGUUUAAACUAUCGGCUCAACUGAUAGUCGCGUUCAAAACUGCCACUCUUGAGUGCAGUAGAGGUAGGCGGAAUUCCUAGUGUAGCGGUGAAAUGCGUAGAUAUUAGGAGGAACACCAGUGGCGAAGGCGGCCUACUGGGCUGUAACUGACGCUGAGGCUCGAAAGCGUGGGUAGCAAACAG